rnacentral:rRNA from 1 species
AUUGAACGCUGGCGGCAGGCCUAACACAUGCAAGUCGAACGAGUGGCGGACGGGUGAGUAAUGUUUGGGAAUCUACCUUAUGGAGGGGGAUAACUACGGGAAACUGUAGCUAAUACCGCAUACCAUCAGAUGAGCCCAAGUGGGAUUAGGUAGUUGGUGGGGUAACGGCUCACCAAGCCGACGAUCGCUAGCUGGUCUGAGAGGAUGACCAGCCACACUGGGACUGAGACACGGCCCAGACUCCUACGGGAGGCAGCAGUGGGGAAUAUUGCGCAAUGGGGGCAACCUGACGCAGCCAUGCCGCGUGAAUGAAGAAGGCCUUCGGGUUGUAAAGUUCUUUCGGUAGCGAGGCGUUACCUACAGAAGAAGCACCGGCUAACUCCGUGCCAGCCGCCGCGGUAAUAC